GAGUUUGAUCCUGGCUCAGGACGAACGCUGGCGGCGUGCUUAACACAUGCAAGUCGAACGAUGAUGCCUAGCUUGCUGGGUUGAUUAGUGGCGAACGGGUGAGUAACACGUGAGUAACCUGCCCCUCACUCUGGGAUAACUCCGGGAAACCGGGGCUAAUACUGGAUAUGACAUGCUGCCGCAUGGUGGUGUGUGGAAAGUUUUUCGGUGGGGGAUGGGCUCGCGGCCUAUCAGCUUGUUGGUGAGGUAGUGGCUCACCAAGGCGACGACGGGUAGCCGGCCUGAGAGGGCGACCGGCCACACUGGGACUGAGACACGGCCCAGACUCCUACGGGAGGCAGCAGUGGGGAAUAUUGCACAAUGGGCGAAAGCCUGAUGCAGCGACGCCGCGUGAGGGAUGACGGCCUUCGGGUUGUAAACCUCUUUCGCCAGGGAAGAAGCUUUUGUGACGGUACCUGGAGAAGAAGCACCGACUAACUACGUGCCAGCAGCCGCGGUAAUACGUAGGGUGCGAGCGUUGUCCGGAAUUAUUGGGCGUAAAGAGCUUGUAGGCGGUUUGUCGCGUCUGCGGUGAAAUUUCGGGGCUUAACCCCGGACGUGCCG
rnacentral:rRNA from 1 species